rnacentral:rRNA from 1 species
UGCNAGUCGAACGAUGACUCUCUAGCUUGCUAGAGAUGAUUAGUGGCGGACGGGUGAGUAACAUUUAGGAAUCUACCUAGUAGUGGGGGAUAGCUCGGGGAAACUCGAAUUAAUACCGCAUACGACCUACGGGUGAAAGGGGGCGCAAGCUCUUGCUAUUAGAUGAGCCUAAAUCAGAUUAGCUAGUUGGUGGGGUAAAGGCCCACCAAGGCGACGAUCUGUAACUGGUCUGAGAGGAUGAUCAGUCACACCGGAACUGAGACACGGUCCGGACUCCUACGGGAGGCAGCAGUGGGGAAUAUUGGACGAUGGGGGCAACCCUGAUCCAGCCAUGCCGCGUGUGUGAAGAAGGCCUUUUGGUUGUAAAGCACUUUAAGCAGGGAGGAGAGGCUAAUGGUUAAUACCCAUUAGAUUAGACGUUACCUGCAGAAUAAGCACCGGCUAACUCUGUGCCAGCAGCCGCGGUAAUACAGAGGGUGCGAGCGUUAAUCGGAAUUACUGGGCGUAAAGCGAGUGUAGGUGGCUCAUUAAGUCACAUGUGAAAUCCCCGGGCUUAACCUAGGAACUGCAUGUGAUACUGGUGGUGCUAGAAUAUGUGAGAGGGAAGUAGAAUUCCAGGUGUAGCGGUGAAAUGCGUAGAGAUCUGGAGGAAUACCGAUGGCGAAGGCAGCUUCCUGGCAUAAUAUUGACACUGAGAUUCGAAAGCGUGGGUAGCAAACAGGAUUAGAUACCCUGGUAGUCCACGCCGUAAACGAUGUCUACUAGCCGUUGGGGUCCUUGAGACCUUAGUGGCGCAGUUAACGCGAUAAGUAGACCGCCUGGGGAGUACGGCCGCAAGGUUAAAACUCAAAUGAAUUGACGGGGGCCCGCACAAGCGGUGGAGCAUGUGGNUUUAAUUCGAUGCAACGCGAAGAACCUUACCUGGNCUUGACAUAGUGAGAAUCUCUCANANAUGAGAGAGUGCCUUCNGGAACUCACAUACAGGUGCUGCAUGG